rnacentral:tRNA from 2 species
GCCGCGGUAGAUCAGCCAGGGAGAUCGCACGGCUGAAGACCGUGUUGUCCGCGGUUCACAUAGACUCACUACGAGUUUGUGGCCGAAAAAUCCGCGCCGCGGCACCA